rnacentral:piRNA from 1 species
UAAAAGUGUACAAGUGGAAGUGCCUGUGA